AGCAGUAUGGUGUAUGGAAACACGCGGGAUUAUAGAGUUCAAAACCUUAUCAAGUCCCAAAGUCCUGGUUUGAAUCAAGGUACUGCUC